CAGACAUACCUGCGGAUAAUCAGCCUUUCGGGUGCGAUUCUGUGAGGCGUGAGGAGCUUAACCGCCUUCAUGUUUUGCCAUAUUCGUGCAACAUUUGGUGUACUUGUCCGUGU
rnacentral:rRNA from 1 species